CCCUUAGAUGUUCUGGGCCGCACGCGCGCUACACUGACGAAUGCAACGAGCUUAUAACCUUGGCCGAAAGGUCUGGGUAAUCUCCAAAUUUCGUCGUGAUGGGGAUAGAUUAUUGCAAUUAUUAAUCUUCAACGAGGAAUGCCUAGUAAGCGCAAGUCAUCAGCUUGCGUUGAUUACGUCCCUGCCCUUUGUGCACACCGCCCGUCGCUCCUACCGAUUGAAUGGUCCGGUGAAGCGUUCGGACCGUGGCCUUUGGACGGUUCGCCGUCUGUUGGCUGCGGGAAGUUCGUUAAACCUUAUCAUUUAGAGGAAGGAGAAGUCGUAACA
rnacentral:rRNA from 1 species